GCCUACGGGGCGCAGCAGUGGGGAAUAUUGCACAAUGGGGGGAACCCUGAUGCAGCAACGCCGCGUGAAGGAAGACGGUUUUCGGAUUGUAAACUUCUAUCAAUAGGGAAGAAAGAAAUGACGGUACCUAAAUAAGAAGCCCCGGCUAACUACGUGCCAGCAGCCGCGGUAAUACGUAGGGGGCAAGCGUUAUCCGGAAUUACUGGGAGUAAGGGGAGAGUAGGCGGCAAGGUAAGCGAUAUGUGAAAGCAUUAGGCUUAACCUGAGGAUUGCAUAACGCACUAUCUAGCUAGAGUACAGGAGAG
rnacentral:rRNA from 1 species